rnacentral:rRNA from 1 species
UGCAUCUGUGCAUGCAGCAUAUCAAUAAGCGGAGGAAAAGGAAACUAACAAGGAUUCCCCUAGUAACGGCGAGUGAAGCGGGAAGAGCUCAAAUUUGAAAUCUUAAAGGGUUUCCCUUUACGAAUUGUAGUUUAAAGAAGUGUUUUCUGUUGAGGUUUUGGUAAAAGUUCUUUGGAAUAGGACAUCAUAGAGGGUGAGAAUCCCGUAUUUGACCUUUACUUUCAACUUUGUGAUACACUUUCAAAGAGUCGGAUUGUUUGGGAAUGCAGUCCAAAAUGGGUGGUAAAUUUCAUCUAAAGCUAAAUAUUGGCGAGAGACCGAUAGCGAACAAGUACCGUGAGGGAAAGAUGAAAAGAACUUUGAAAAGAGAGUUAAACAGUACGUGAAAUUGUCAAAAGGGAAGCGUUUGACACCAGUGUUGUUUUUCUGAAAAUCAAUUAAAGAACUGUUUAUGCUAAGCUGUUUAGACUUUAUCAGCUAAUCUGUUUAGUUUUGAGCUUUUCUUUAAUGCACUUUUCAGUUAACAAGUCAACAUCAAUUUCUUUUGCUGUAAAAAAGCUUGAGGAAGGUGGCUUGAGAUUCGUCUUAAGUGUUUAUAGCCUCUUGCCUAUGCAGUCGGAGAGAUUGAGGUCUGCAGCGUAGAUCCUUCGGGGCUAAAUGCAUUUGUGCUAAGUUAUAGCAUUUUAUAGACAACUUGUUGACUAUGAUUUGUCUUGUAGCUUACUCGCUUAUGUUAUUUUACCUACGCUUAGGAUGUUGAACGCGCACAGAGUCUC